rnacentral:rRNA from 1 species
UACGAAGGGGGCUAGCGUUGUUCGGAUUUACUGGGCGUAAAGCGCACGUAGGCGGAUCGAUCAGUCAGGGGUGAAAUCCCAGGGCUCAACCCUGGAACUGCCUUUGAUACUGUCGAUCUGGAGUAUGGAAGAGGUGAGUGGAAUUCCGAGUGUAGAGGUGAAAUUCGUAGAUAUUCGGAGGAACACCAGUGGCGAAGGCGGCUCACUGGUCCAUUACUGACGCUGAGGCACGAAAGCGUGGGGAGCAAACAGG